UACGGGGGGGGGCAAGCGUUGUUCGGAAUUACUGGGCGUAAAGGGCUCGUAGGCGGCCAACUAAGUCAGACGUGAAAUCCCUCGGCUUAACCGGGGAACGUGCGUCUGAUACUGGAUGGCUUGAGAUUGGGAGAGGGAUGCGGAAUUCCAGGUGUAGCGGUGAAAUGCGUAGAUAUCGGGAGGAACACCUGUGGCGAAGGCGGUCAUCUGGACAACAACUGAUGCUGAGACGCGAAAGCGUGGGUAGCAAACAGG
rnacentral:rRNA from 1 species